UACGUAGGGGGCAAGCGUUGUCCGGAAUUAUUGGGCGUAAAGGGCGCGUAGGCGGAUGUUUAAGUCCGGUGUGAAAGAUCAGGGCUCAACCCUGAGAGUGCAUCGGAAACUGGGCAUCUUGAGGACAGGAGAGGAAAGUGGAAUUCCACGUGUAGCGGUGAAAUGCGUAGAUAUGUGGAGGAACACCAGUGGCGAAGGCGACUUUCUGGACUGUAACUGACGCUGAGGCGCGAAAGCGUGGGGAGCAAACAGG
rnacentral:rRNA from 1 species